UUCUGGUUUAAGUGUCAGAUUCAGUUGCACCUCGAUUCACAAUUCAGAAUUCAUGCUGUAUCCCAGGAUCAAUCCUUCGUUGCUACUUCUUCUGGAGCCAUUGGGCAGAGAAGGGGUGCAGUUGGAGCAUACCGAUUAGAACACGUGGCUGGUGCGUGAACCCUGAAAUGAAGAGUGAAUGAAGGCAGGAAUUACUGGAAGGGAGGUCAGGGAAGAAUAUUUUCAGGAGGAUGCUGACCCACCAGGAGGCCAUAAGGAAAUAGUUUCGUUAUCCCUUGGUGCCAGA